rnacentral:rRNA from 1 species
UGCAAGUCGAACGGCAGCACGGACUUCGGUCUGGUGGCGAGUGGCGAACGGGUGAGUAAUGUAUCGGAACGUGCCUAGUAGCGGGGGAUAACUACGCGAAAGCGUAGCUAAUACCGCAUACGCCCUACGGGGGAAAGCAGGGGAUCGCAAGACCUUGCACUAUUAGAGCGGCCGAUAUCGGAUUAGCUAGUUGGUGGGGUAACGGCUCACCAAGGCGACGAUCCGUAGCUGGUUUGAGAGGACGACCAGCCACACUGGGACUGAGACACGGCCCAGACUCCUACGGGAGGCAGCAGUGGGGAAUUUUGGACAAUGGGGGAAACCCUGAUCCAGCCAUCCCGCGUGUGCGAUGAAGGCCUUCGGGUUGUAAAGCACUUUUGGCAGGAAAGAAACGUCAUGGGUUAAUACCCCGUGAAACUGACGGUACCUGCAGAAUAAGCACCGGCUAACUACGUGCCAGCAGCCGCGGUAAUACGUAGGGUGCAAGCGUUAAUCGGAAUUACUGGGCGUAAAGCGUGCGCAGGCGGUUCGGAAAGAAAGAUGUGAAAUCCCAGAGCUUAACUUUGGAACUGCAUUUUUAACUACCGGGCUAGAGUGUGUCAGAGGGUGGUGGAAUUCCGCGUGUAGCAGUGAAAUGCGUAGAUAUGCGGAGGAACACCGAUGGCGAAGGCAGCCUCCUGGGAUAACACUGACGCUCAUGCACGAAAGCGU